GGGUUUAGCGACGUGAGCCUGUUUUAACAGUGAAUUGUUAAGUGUCUUAACCCUUCAGAAGGUGUUUCUCAAUGUCAAGGAAGGAUCCUUCGAAGCCAGAAUUUGGAGGAUACUACGUCAUCGCCGUCCGUCGAAGGACCGUUCCAAUGUCGAGGAUCCUCCGAUUUCUACCAAGGACUGACCCCACUAACACAGAACGUUUAGGGAACGUUGGGGAACGUUAGUUUUUGGUUCUCUAAAGGUUAGUUCGAACCAAACCAAAAACUAACGUUUAGGGAACGUUCCCUCAUGGUUAUAACGUUCCCUAAACGUUAGGGGAACCAACCAACGGGAACGUUUGGUAGUUUUUGGUUGUUUUUGGUUGUUCAGAGUGCGGUUUUGAAAUGUUUAUUUAAACCAGCUCCAUUUACGUUUUUGAAGUAGCAUAUAAAAGGUUUGCAGUCACUUGAUUUAGAUUCACUCAAAAAUGAUUGGUCUUAUAAAAUCUAAGUAAGAUAAACAACAUAGCAAGAUAAUAAAUUUACUUUUAGGCUGAAAUCAAUUUUGCUAAAAACUGUACUUUUGUGCUUGAUUUCGUUGUUUUAACUGUAUUAGGUGAAAAUACUUAAAACAAGAAUCUAUCGAUUUUCACAACUAAGACAAUUCACUUCUUCCAUUUCACUUCUAACAAGUGGCUCAAUCAGUUCAGUGUUUAAAUCCAACCGUUACACCCCCCCGCCAGUAGGGGAAGACCGUGCCUCUGCUCUCAGGUGACCGAUUCAAGUCCUGUCCUCCGGACUUCCGUUUGCGUUUGAUACGCUACACCAACGGACAAAGAAAGAAGAUUUUAUUUGCUUCGCCAAACGAUCUCACGAAAAAAUGACUCCAGUCCACAAGCAAGAAAGCAUUCCAGGACGGAGCGUGUGUCUAGAAGCCCUGUCUGUCCGUAGACAUCACUGCCACCACCACCUGCAUAUGAGUCAACACCACACAGGAAACCAGGCGGUGGCCCAGAGCUGGAUGGGUGUAUUCUAACGCGAGCUCGGCCUGCCACUUCAUCUUGGGACCCAGUUGAAGCAACUUUUCCUGACAAGCCCGGAGGUUCGACCGGAGGUACUGCCAUGCGUCGCAUGCUACGGCGAGUCGCAACCAAUGAUGUUCUAAAACUGUAUAUCCUGCGGGGCAGAAAGAGAAAGAAGGCCUUCCAGGACCUGACUAU